AUACCUUCUCGGUCUUUUGGCUAAGAUCAAGUGUAGUAUCUGUUCUUAUCAGCUUAAUAUCUGAUACAGCACACUUGUGUGCAGAAAUACUC